AUAUGGGAAGAGAGCACUAAUACUUAACAUGUUUUUACCUAAAUGGUAAUAACACGGUUAUUCAUAACAUUUGUAAUAGCCAAUCACAAUUCUUUAACUAAGUUUGGCUAUUUUGGCCUAAUAUUUUAAAUUUCUUUCAAUGACUUUACUUGCUUAUUGAAUAACCAUUCUAAACAGGUGACGCUUUUCCCCAAUCUCUAACGUUAAAACAUGCUUGGAAUCUAUAGUGCCACCAAAAGAUGAUGACGUAAAAGAUGAAGAAACAUAAAAAUGUAUAUUUAUGUGUGUAAUUAUCAAAGCCCAUGUAUGGAU